AUGCUUGCUUCGGCAGCACAAGUGCUAAAAUUGGAGCGAUACAGAAGAGAUAAGCAUGGCCCCCGAACAAGGAUGAUAUGUGUAUUUGUGAAGCAUUCCAUAUUUUU
ensembl:snRNA U6 U6 spliceosomal RNA